GAUGAACGCUGGCGGCGUGCCUAAUACAUGCAAGUCGAGCGAACGGACGAGAAGCUUGCUUCUCUGAUGUUAGCGGCGGACGGGUGAGUAACACGUGGAUAACCUACCUAUAAGACUGGGCUAACUUCGGGAAACCGUAGCUAAUACCGGAUAACAUUUUGAACCGCAUGGUUCAAAAGUGAAAGACGGUCUUGCUGUCACUUAUAGAUAGAUCCUCGCUGCAUUAGCUAGUUGGUAAGGUAACGGCUUACCAAGGCAACGAUGCAUAGCCGACCUGAGAGGGUGAUCGGCCACACUUGAACUGAGACACUGUCCAGACUCCUACGGGAGGCAGCAGUAGGGAAUCUUCCGCAAUGGGCGAAAGCCUGACGGAGCAACGCCGCGUGAGUGAUGAAGGUCUUCGGAUCGUAAAACUCUGUUAUUAGGGAAGAACAUAUGUGUAAGUAACUGUGCACAUCUUGACGGUACCUAAUCAGAAAGCCACGGCUAACUACGUG
rnacentral:rRNA from 1 species